rnacentral:rRNA from 1 species
UCGAGAAUCUUCCGCAAUGGACGAAAGUCUGACGGAGCGACGCCGCGUGGAGGACGAAGGCCCUCGGGUUGUAAACUCCUGUCGGGACCCAAAGAAAUGGCGGCGGUGAACAAUCGUCGUCUUGACACUAGGUUCGGAGGAAGCACCGGCUAACUCUGUGCCAGCAGCCGCGGUAAGACAGAGGGUGCAAACGUUGCUCGGAAUCACUGGGCAUAAAGCGCACGUAGGCGGUCGUGUAAGUGCGGUGUGAAAUCCCCCGGACUCAACCGGGGAACUGCUCCGCAUACUGCACGGCUAGAGCUUGGGAGGGGAGAGUGGAACUCCUGGUGGAGCGGUGGAAUGCGUAGAUAUCAGGAGGAACGCCGGAGGUGAAGACGACUCUCUGGUCCAAUGCUGACGCUAAGGUGCGAAAGCUAGGGGAGCAAACGGGAUUAGGAUACCCUGGUAGUCCACGCCGUAAACGAUGAGAACUAGGUGUAGCGGGUA